GCAGUUGGUUUGUACACAUUUAAAUUCCAUAAAACAAAUCCAUAGAAAUUAGAAUACUAUAUGCAUGCACUCUGCAUUUUCUUUGUUAAAUGUUUUGGUUCACAAAAAUAACAACACAUUUUUUUUUCCUUUAAAGCCACUAAAGCAGAGGGAGAACAAAACAUGCAGCACUGUACACAUUUGCAUAGUAUAUUUUACCCAGCAUGCCUUGUAGAAUGCUACACAUUUACCUAUAUAAGGAAAUAAAAGGGGGUAUUAAUAAGUUUAUCUGUUUUUCCCUCCCACUAACCGUUCAAAAAAACUGCUAAUGGCUUUUACUUAUGUUUCAAAAUAGUAUUCCGUAUAAAACAAAUUGAAGAAUCCCUAAAUACUUAUUGGGACAUCUUUCUUUAUCAUUUUGACUAUAGGCUGUGAAAAAUAGAAAACAUUUCAAACAUGUCCACAAUUCAGAGGAGCCCUGUGAGCUCACUGGAUGUUACCUUUUGUAGUGGUUAUUGAAGGAGAAGAAAUAAGAACAGUAAAUAUAGUAUGAGUCAUCACAAAAUAAAAUUUAAUGAGUUUUAUAGAAGGGAAUAAAGUAAAAUAAAUUACAUCCACAGAUUGCAAGGCUCUGAAGUAAAUUGCUGGAAAAGUAUCAAGCAGCAAGUUAAAAAGAUGGUAGAUGAAAUAAAUCUGAUAAAACUUAGAACUAAAUCUAUAUACUUUUAAAAAAUACAACUGCCAAAUUUAACAGUGGAUUUUGUUAUAAGUUUGUGCUAUAACAAAUGUGCUUCUUUCUCCUCAACCUAUUUUUAUAUUAUUGGCAAAAUAUAUAUCUUUUAUAAUUUUGUACUGUACAAUAUAUGUUUUUGCUACAUUAUUUUUCUACUGCUAAUGCAGAUUAGAAAUAACAACAUAGAUUUAUUUUGGCAAUAAAAUGCUUUCAUUUUAAUAAUGUCCCAGAAAAUAUUGUAAGGCAUAUGAAAAAGAGUAUGCAACAAUAUAGCAUUAAUGAUCCUGCAUCUUUAAAUACAUCCCUUAUACAUACAGAAUUCACACUGAUUUCAGUUAAAGAUGUGUGAAAGUGGCAUGCAAGCGGAGCAAGAGUGGCCCCUACAUAUACACAGAGCCAUUUGUUGAGAAAUUUAAGUGUUCAGAACAUAACCAAGAACACUUACAAAGUAUUGAAAAGCUAGAGGCCAGCCACUUUUAGUUCCUAGAUAGUCUUCACUUUUACGCUGUAAUUCAAAGAGGAAGCAUCAGUGUAUUCCCCAGACACUCUAAAUGCAUUAGUAACAUUUUCUACCAUCUUUCUACAAACAUUUUAAAUACAUCAAAAGAAACAAAGGAAAAUUUCAUAUGUAACUAUGACUCCCCCAAACUCAUGACUAUUCACUCUUAUUU
rnacentral:lncRNA from 1 species